UACGGAGGAUGCGAGCGUUAUCCGGAUUUAUUGGGUUUAAAGGGUGCGUAGGCGGGCUGUUAAGUCAGCGGUAAAAGCCCGGGGCUCAACCCCGGCGAGCCGUUGAAACUGGCUGUCUUGAGAUGUCGAGAAGUACGCGGAAUGCGCGGUGUAGCGGUGAAAUGCAUAGAUAUCGCGCAGAACUCCGAUUGCGAAGGCAGCGUACCGGCGCCAGACUGACGCUGAGGCACGAAAGCGUGGGGAUCGAACAGG
rnacentral:rRNA from 1 species